CGAACGCUGGCGGCGUGCUUCACACAUGCAAGUCGAACGGCAAGGCCCUGCUUUUGUGGGGUGCUCGAGUGGCGAACGGGUGAGUAACACGUGAGUAACCUGCCCUUGACUUUGGGAUAACUUCAGGAAACUGGGGCUAAUACCGGAUAGGAGCUCCUGCUGCAUGGUGGGGGUUGGAAAGUUUCGGCGGUUGGGGAUGGACUCGCGGCUUAUCAGCUUGUUGGUGGGGUAGUGGCUUACCAAGGCUUUGACGGGUAGCCGGCCUGAGAGGGUGACCGGCCACAUUGGGACUGAGAUACGGCCCAGACUCCUACGGGAGGCAGCAGUGGGGAAUAUUGCACAAUGGGCGGAAGCCUGAUGCAGCAACGCCGCGUGCGGGAUGACGGCCUUCGGGUUGUAAACCGCUUUCGCCUGUGACGAAGCGUGAGUGACGGUAAUGGGUAAAGAAGCACCGGCUAACUACGUG
rnacentral:rRNA from 1 species